rnacentral:tRNA from 1 species
GAGUCCUAAGUGUUUAUAUAUUAAACGUCAGACUUUAGAAUCUGAAGAAGCUUGAUUAGGUGGGACUUU